rnacentral:rRNA from 1 species
UUACCGAGUGAGGGCCCUCUGGGUCCAACCUCCCACCCGUGUUUAUUUUACCUUGUUGCUUCGGCGGGCCCGCCUUAACUGGCCGCCGGGGGGCUCACGCCCCCGGGCCCGCGCCCGCCGAAGACACCCUCGAACUCUGUCUGAAGAUUGAAGUCUGAGUGAAAAUAUAAAUUAUUUAAAACUUUCAACAACGGAUCUCUUGGUUCCGGCAUCGAUGAAGAACGCAGCGAAAUGCGAUACGUAAUGUGAAUUGCAAAUUCAGUGAAUCAUCGAGUCUUUGAACGCACAUUGCGCCCCCUGGUAUUCCGGGGGGCAUGCCUGUCCGAGCGUCAUUGCUGCCCUCAAGCCCGGCUUGUGUGUUGGGCCCCGUCCUCCGAUCUCCGGGGGACGGGCCCGAAAGGCAGCGGCGGCACCGCGUCCGGUCCUCGAGCGUAUGGGGCUUUGUCACCCGCUCUGUAGGCCCGGCCGGCGCUUGCCGAUCAACCCAAAUUUUUAUCCAGGUUGACCUCGGAUCAGGUAGGGAUACCCGCUGAACUUAAGCAUAUCAAUAAGCGGAGGAAARAAAACCCAACCAAAA